rfam:Myotis lucifugus cont2.61864, whole genome shotgun sequence.
GCCAGUGUGGCUCAGUGGAUAGAGCGUCAGCCUGCAGACCAAAGGGUCCCAGGUUCCAUUCCUGUCAAGGGCA